rnacentral:rRNA from 1 species
GAUUAACGCUGGCGGUAUGCCUAACACAUGCAAGUCGAGCGGACCUUCGGGUUAGCGGCGAACGGGUGAGUAAUACAUUGGUACUUGCCUCAGAGUAGGACAUAGCCUGCCGAAAGGUGGGGUAAUUUCCUAUAGUCUUAGUAAUAAGUAAAGCAGCAAUGCGCUCUGAGAGAGACCUUUGUCCUAUCAGCUAGUUGGUGAGGUAAAGGCCCACCAAGGCGACGACGGGUAGCUGGAUCGAGAGGUUGACCAGCCACACUGGGACUGAGACACGGCCCAGACUCCUACGGGAGGAAGCAGUGAGGAAUUUUCCACAAUGGGCGAAAGCCUGAUGGAGCAAUACCGCGUGAAGGAUGACGGCCUUCGGGUUGUAAAGUUCUUUUACCCGGGAUGAUAAUGACAGUACCGGGAGAAUAAGCUCCGGCUAACUCCGUGCCAGCAGCCGCCGCCG